CAGCAGUCGCCGCGGGAAUACGAAGGGUGCAAGCGUUAAUCGGAAUUACUGGGCGUAAAGCGUGCGUAGGCGGUGAGUUAAGUCUGCUGUGAAAUCCCCGGGCUCAACCUGGGAAUGGCAGUGGAUACUGGCUCGCUAGAGUGUGUCAGAGGAUGGUGGAAUUCCCGGUGUAGCGGUGAAAUGCGUAGAGAUCGGGAGGAACAUCAGUGGCGAAGGCGGCCAUCUGGGACAACACUGACGCUGAGGCACGAAAGCGUGGGGAGCAAACAGGAUUAGAUACCCGCGUAGUCCCUGUCUCUUAUAA
rnacentral:rRNA from 1 species